GUGAGGCAGGGGAGAGAGGGGCUGAUAGCUGGCUGGAGACCCAGCAAGGCUUUCUGCACUGUCCCGCCCAGCUCUCAGGGAAACUGACUGAGGUUGGGACCCUGGUCAGUAUGAAACAGAACUCGGGGGGCUGAGCGUUCUUGUUGACACAGCUUUUGGGAACCUCAGCCAAUGGCUGGCCACUGGCGUUAGGGGCCAUCUAAGAGAGGCAAGGGAACCCUGACAUAUUGAUAAUUCCUGAGGGAGAAUUUGUCCAGUGGGCCCCCUUUCCUGAAUUCCCACUUUGUACCUUGUCACCCCCAAGAAUUUUUUUCCUCCUGCUUGGAAGGUUGUGUAGAACUAAUGCAGCACAUCGGAAUGUCGUCUUUGAUACAGAUUCCCCCAACUUUAAUUUUUCCUGUAUAAUUUUCCUAUCUAUGAAGUACCUACCUAUUAUUUACUUACUAGUUCCUUAAAAUGGACUCAUAAUAUGAACACUUGCUUUAGUUUCAUACUAAGCCAUAAAUAUGCACAGUCGUCUUUUGUGUGUUUUCUUUCUAGUUCAUAGCGCAAUAAAUGAGUAACAGAAUAUUUUCAGGAGUGUCCCUCCAUGAACUACCUCAGAUCAUCUUGGGUGCCACUCGUGGUACUUGGCCCGCGUUUUGGAGGCUCGGGCGGCGGAGGGAAGCUUCCUCCGCGCAGAGGGCGGGGCCGGGGCAUCUGCACGGAGCUGCGGCGCUCUCCGCUCCAGCCCCAUGGGUGGCCUCCAUCUUGGUUUGGGCUCCAUCUCAGCACGGCCAUCUGCUCUGAGUGAGCAGCCUUUUGUGAAAAGCUGUGGGGGGAUCAGCCUGGCUGAUUGGCUGGAGUGGUGCCCAGAAUGCCCAGAUGUACAUUUGCCCCAAAAGAGGGAGCACAGCUGGGGUUCACUGUCUCCCUGGAGGUUUGCUUUUCCUGGGGAAGCUCAGCCCAGCCUCCCACACUCCUGCCGCACAUUCUGCUGCGCUUGGCGGCGAGGAAAGGGCCCAGAGCGGCCCUCCGAGCUCCCUUACCGCCGGCUGCCUGCCAUUUGCCGCCACUGGGGACCUGAGAUUGCUUCCAUGGAAACAGAACUCGGGAUUGUUUUUCCAGAAACGUCUCAAUCUAAUUUGUGUGGAGCUGGGUUGUGUGUGCUCGCAUGUUUGUGUGUCUCUGUGCAGUGUGUUUCAGCUGCAGAAGGGGGGAGGGCGAGAAGUGAGGAGAGAAUUUGCACAGACCUCCAUUUUCCCUGAUGCCCAGAAAGUUGAAGAUUUCAGCAAUCCUGCAAGGGAACUACGGCUGUUAUUGUGGGACUGGGCUCAUAAUGAUGGGUGUGGCACUGUUAUGCAAACGAGUUCUCUGCAGGAAACAGCCAUAACUUGCGUGAUCAUAUGCUGA
rnacentral:lncRNA from 1 species